rnacentral:rRNA from 1 species
GAUGAACGCUAGCGGCAGGCCUAACACAUGCAAGUCGAGGGGUAGAAGGAGCUUGCUCCUUUGAGGCCGGCGCCCGGGUGCGUAACGCGUAUGCAAUCUACCUUGUACAGGGGUAUAGCCCAGAGAAAUUUGGAUUAAUGCCCCAUAGUAUAUAACCUUCGCAUGUUGGUUAUAUUAAAGUUCCAACGGUACAAGAUGAGCAUGCAUUCCAUUAGUUAGUUGGUAAGGUAACGGCUUAACAAGACGCAGAUGGGUAGGGGUCCUGAUGGUGAGAUCCACCACACUUGAACUGAGACACGGACCACACUACUACGGGAGGCAGCAGUGAGGAAUAGUAGUGAAUGGUCGCAAGACUGAACCAGCCGUGCCGCGUGCAGAAAGACGGUCCUAUGGAUUGUAAACUGCUUUUAUACAGGAAGAAACCCUCCCACGUGUGGGAGCUUGACGGUACUGUAGGAAUAAGGAUCGGCUAACUCCGUG